AGAGAGAUAAAUACUCUGCACUUUAUUUAUUUUGAACAUUGUUUUGUCAUCUCUGGGAAAAAACCAUCAUGAUCAUUUGUACUAUUUAUUUGUUUACAGCGUGUUGUUUUACCCGGUUGUGGAACACAUCUACUUGACACACACACACUAUGAAAACUGCAGAAGGAUACAGAUAAAUGAGUGUCUAACAUAAAGAAAACACUGUUUAAAAAAAGGUUCCCUGUCACUGUAUGACUCGCCAGCUCGAUUUUCCACUCAUACGGGGAGAAAUGCGAUUUAUUUCAUGAGCCUUUAAAGUCGAACCGAAUGUCAUGAAACGCACCGAAGUUACACACGAACCCGCCUACGGUCCGUUUAAAAAAUAAAGCCCAUCUAUUUAUUACGUAACGAUCUUAUCCGAAUAGUGUAGAGGAGAUGUGGGCGUGGCUAACCCCCCCCAAAAAACCCCAUCUGGUACAUUACAUCAAAAAGAACGUGGUCCAUGGCGAGCUUUUUAAUUACAAUCGAGCGUGUUUGAUGCAGCAGGAACGAGGAACAACUCAGGAAGUUGUUGGGUGUGUGUAAUGAGCUGAUUUGCAUAUUACACCCGAUACGAUCGCAGCUAACCGGAGAUGAUUAAAGAUGUUAAUGUAUGUGGUUACAUUUUGUUUAAUCGGGAUUCAAUCCAGACGCAAGGCGUGUAUAACAAGCAGGUGUAUACAGUGUAAACGUAUCCGUACAACGAUUGCAUAGCCGCAGUUGGUCGUCAUAGCAACAACCCGGACGUCUGAUGCUAAGCAGCGCCGAACAGUUAGCUAGUUAGCAAGUGGUCGCGAUGUCGGUUUUGCCCGUUAUGUUUUACAUAGAAUAAUUUAAAAAAACAAAACAACAAAAAAAAGAGACGGAGACGUGUUACACGAUUCAUGUUGCUUCUGGAAUUUUCCGAUGGCAAGACGAGCCAUAGACGUGAAAUCUGUUUUGUCAACCAGAAUCGCGCGUUUAGGAAUCCGAUUUCUUCGAAAAGGCAUGCAAAUCGAGCUUAAAUCCAAUUUCAUGUGGGUUUCUCAUCAAAUCUUUCUCUCCGCCCCCCCCGACUAAAAAAAAAAAAGAAAAAAAAAAGGGGAUUUCAGCUGCCUGUCUGAACAAACCCUGUGAUAGACGGGUGGAGAGAAUCCGUCGGGAGGAAUGAACAGAUUAACACAAAUUAGGUCAAAUUAGAAGGGAGUUUGUUCUCUCUUCAAUAAACGGGAGAUGGAGAGAGUUAUCACACAGAGGAGAGAAAAAAAACAAACAGAUGGAUGGGAAGGUGGAGGAGGAAGAAAGCCCCCCCCCCCCCCCAAACCCCCCCCAUGCUAACGACGACAGAAACAACACGUGCGAUGCCGCGUAAAGCGGAACGCAAAAUCAAAACGUGUUUCUCUGACCCGUCUUUCCUCUAUCUCCGUUCCUUUCUUUCUUUCUCCAGUCCUGAUCUGGCCAGGGAUUGCUAAGAGGUCACAAAUAAAGAUCAUUAGAAAAGACAGGAGUGAGGGACAGAACACUUUCCAGAGGCAGGAAAGGAGGAGAAGAUAAAUGAGACUGAGACGUAAUGGGUGAGGGAGAGAGAGAGAGAGGGAGAGAGGGAGAGAGGGAGGGAGGACAAGCCGAGUGUGUUGCUGGAAGCUUGAGUAGGAAGAAAGAGAGCCGAGAGAAAAGGGGAUCGAAGAGAGGAGCGAUGGCCGGGGAAUCACGACGAUGGAAAGAGCGAUGGGGGGAUGGGGGGACGAGACGGACGACGGCUGAAGAUUAGCUUCGAGCUACAAAUCCAAUAAGUCGGUGUUGUGUCUACGAUCUUUUAAAUUAUCGUCCUAAAAAUAGACGAUUUUAUGGCAAAGUUCGUUCUUUACUCUUAAAGCAGCAGCGAAGAGUUUUAUAGCACGAACAUCUGGAAGGGUCCAGCUGUGUACUGAGCGUACUGAUUAAAUGAAUAAUAAUUGUAAAUGCUGAUUAAGUUUGGCUGCGAUAAAGUCCCUGUGUAAACCAAGCAAGCAGAGGUUUAACCGCCAUUACAGGGGCCUCGUAAACCUUUUUCGGUAAAGUUGCGUGUAAAUGUUUUUCUCUUAAGGUAUGUUCGCGCACACAGCGUUUCUUUUUUCUCCAGCCGCUGUACUAUGAAGUCACCAGUAGGCGUCCCUACUACUGGUUGUCAUAGUAACGUUUAUCAGUGGAAUCCGCGACUACAACGAAACAUUCUGUCGGGAGAGAGCGUCUGUAUAUAAAAUUCACCCGUGUGUAGUGAUACGCAUCAUAUCCUGUGAGACGAAGUGUGCGCUUCUGGGCCACUGCGGUCCUCCAUCUGUCACGAAAGCACACGCGUAAGCGCCAGACAAUUCGGCGGAAUCACGUGCGCUCUACGAUCUUCACUCCCGCUCGCAUAAAGUUUUCUCGACCUCGUCGCGUCGCCGGACACGCCCUCGUCUAGUCGCAGACGGUCGCCGAUGCUCACGUCGUACCGGAGAUCGGCGGCGCUCGUUGAAAACGAACGGUCUCUGGUGGCUUUGUCGCCGCGAGUCGCUGUACCGUGAGUGUGAAGGGACGUCUAGGUCGAGCGGAACGGAAAAUUCCUGCUAGACCGACAGAAGCUGCAUCGAUUCCGUUCGUUCGUACUCAUGUGCGAAUGUUUACACGCGUACUCCAAAAAAAACCACACUCUAUUGCACUCUUCCUCCUUUUGUAGAGCGCCAUUACUUUUGUCCUAAUUGGAUUACUAGUUUUAUUUCUCCAAUUUAUGGAUUUGUUCCGGUUUGGUUUCUUUCAAAUUUAUAUAAACACGGUAGCUUUUUUAUACAACGUCAGAUGCGAACGUUUUUCUCUGUGUGUGUGUGUGUGUGUGUAAAUGCUCCAAAAUGUGGGAGGAGCAUACUCUCUUUCCCCCCUGUCAAUCACAGGUAGAUAGCGCUUUCCUCCGGGCGUGUUUCCAUGCAAUCCAUGCCCCUCCCACUCAGAAUACAGCCAUUUUACUACUUCUAGACACGGUUCAUGUGCACGGUUCAUAUUAGCAUGCUCUCCAGAUGAACCGAUAACAAUAUGAAAUCACCUACACUGAUAUAUCAUGUACAACAGCAUGCGCAAGAGACAGCAUGACAAAAAACCCUUAAUGUUCCCCGUCCUCUGUGUUUGAUUUGUUUCUACGGAUUUCAUCAGCUUGCGCUUGGAACACUGCGCUAGGUUCUGAUUUUGUCGUUUUAACCUCACUCUGAGAAUGACGCUGCGAGAGCACACCCUGUUUGAGGAAGGUGUCAAGCUUGGUGUACAUUACUCCUGUGUGUGUGUGUGUGUGGGGGGGGGCUGUAUGUUCUGUAGGACGUCGUUCUGAUAUGAGAACGAUCCGUCACCCUAACUAAUGCUUUACGCAUUACAUUACAGUGCUUUUCUUCUUAUUAAAGAGCUCGGGUUUUAUUUGAGAACUUUCCGACGGUCAGUCCGUUUACACGGACGACGAUGAUCCGAUACGAACCCGAUUAAGACGAUCCUCUGAUUCAGAAACUAGCAUGUAAACAGAGAUUAUUGAUUACGUUAAUCUGAGUAAGCUCGUACUCGAAGUAAACACGAACGGAAUUAAGACGUGUGGAGGAUUCCUGCUUUAGUCGCGUUAUCGGCGUGCGUUACGGACACGUACGCACCUUAAUCACACUAUUAACGUCGUGUGGGAGUUUUCACCGCAUUGUGCGACAGGACACGUACGCACACGGCGGCGCUCGACCGUUUGACGGCGAACAAGAGAGCACGGCUGCGUCCCAAACCGCGUACUUGCCUGCUGUAUAGUAGGAGAAAUACAUGUAUCUCGGCUACUAUAUAGACGGUAUGUACGUGGUUUGGGACGCAGCCCACGGCUUCAAGCAGUCGUGUAUUUGCACGUACAGCACGACAAAUAAUUAACCGCACUCAAAGCUUUCGUAAAAUUUUUAACAAAAACACCCAAAAGUGUAUACGGUCCCAUAACGAAGACCAACUGUAUGUCGAUACGUGAAAUUCUGGAGGGAACGUCGGACGGCGUGACGUGGGGACGUAAUCACGUGUGCCGUUAAUCCAUCUAUAUUCUAUAACACGUAAAACGGGAACAUGAAAGGAGUAUUCUAAAAGCCACUCAUGUAAACACCUUAAUCAGAAUAUACUGUCUUAUUCAGAGUAAGGUCAGUAAUUAGAUUACUGCUGUCCAUGUAAACGUCAUCACUGUCUUUUACAGUCUAUUACCGAGGUCCACAAUUUAUAAGACGGUGAUCCGGACGAAUACGGGUACAUACGGUACAGUACGCGUGUCGUAGAUGUCAUAACCGCAGCGUAAUUAAACGCGUCUUCUCGCGUCUAACGGACGUCUGGAAAGCGAAGACCCCUUGAUGAAAUGAUCGAACGCAAUGAAACGAGGCGUCAACAAUAACGACCGUCGAGGAGUAAACAGUAAAACGAGCAAUAACAAAUGAAAAUCGAAUCAUUCUUUAUACCCGAGUGAUUCCACAGUCGCAGCUCCGUUUAGCACUUCCGACCUAGACGCUUUCGUUUUCGUCAUUUGUUCGACAGAUUAAUUCACCGUUCAAAUUGUGCGUUGCACCGUCUCCGGCACAAAUAUAUCUCUUUUCAUUUUUUUUUUUUUUUUUUUUUUACAACCCUGCUCUUAAAUGAAUAACAAGGUUGAAAGGUUUAUUUAUUUAUUUAUUUAUUUGUAUUUAUUUAUUUAUUUAUUUCCCAGCGACGAAUUAGCAUGUACACGAUGACGUUACCUAGCAUCAAUGCUAAUAGCGUGACAGCAUCAUGGAUGUUUACAUAUAUUUUAUUUAAUUUUUUUUUAAAUGAAGUGUUUACUUUCAGUGUAUAAUGCUUGCGCGGUUUGUGUGACAGGUCGUGCGUUCAAAUCGAGCUCGUCAGCCGAUAUCGGAAACGUCACUGAAAAUAAAGAAAUCUUCAGGAAAUUCGCAUGACGCCACAUCCUGUUGUGACUUGUGGAAUGUUCCAGAUAUUUCAUAGGGGCGAUAGUCCUGGGGCCCGAAGUGGACGUUUGGUUCGUCACCUAUAAUGGAUGACUCAUGAAAAAAAGAUGAGACGUUUAAACGGAUUUGCGCGAUAAAGUUAAUCGUUAUAUUUGAAUUCAGAGAGUAUUUCUAUUGGGCUGAGCCAGGCGAAAUACUUCCAUUUAUCUAAUUUCAUCGACAUGAGAUAUGUGUGAUGAACACUUGACCUGCGUUUAAAAUGUCUAACCUUUUACAUAUCGUACAUCCUACGUUUAUUUAUUUAUACUGUAUAUAUUCCAUAUAGGAAACUGACUUAAAUGUGGUCACUUCCUUUAUACUGGUUUGUGUGUACAGUAUAUACGACGAGCUUCGGUAUGCCGACAAUGAGACAUGACGGCAGAGACACGUUGAACGAAUCGCUCUGUCUGUGCCCUCGUUCUCUCCUUCCACCCCACUGUGGCUCUCGUUCCUUUCUUUUCAUUUCGAUUUAAUCCUCGUUCCUUUACAAGGAAGACUCUAAUGCAUGUCAUUUAACUAUACCGUGUGUGUGUGUGUGUGAGAUAGAGAGCUAGCUUUUUGAAGGACACACACAGAGGGAUGUGUGUGUGUCUAUGCGGUUGAGCUAUGUGAAUAUCCUCUGAGAUCCGCUAAGCGUUUGGCUUACAUGGUGUUUAAACCCAGAAUUCAGCUCAGACUCUGAGAAUAAAGACCAUCUCUCUCUUACACACACACACACACACACACACACACACACACACACACACACACACACACACACACUUGUGAGGACCUUACAAAGACAUCAUAAUUACAGAAUGAACCCUAACCUCAGGAACCACAAGGAAUUAUUCUGCCGCUUUACCUUAUUUAUUUAUUUAUUUAGCCAAAUGUCUCCACAAGGUUGCAGUCCAGAGCACUGACUACUGAGCCAACAAUCACACCACGUCCAACCGACAUAUAAAAACAUGACCACGCACAUACAGGUUAAUUAUAUCAGAAACUGUAAGAGCUAUCCAAAAAUAAAAAUGGUUUCCGUGUGUGUGUGUGUGUGUGUGCGCCUGCACUGAACGAGCAUAUUACAUCAGCUAGGUUGCUAUCAUACUGAGAAGUUCCCUGUAACCCUGUGAAGUAAUCCAUAUUUCCUAACAAGUCAUUUUAAAACCCAGGAAAGUACUAGAAAUCCUUACCAGCACGAUUAUUAUUCAUGAUAUGCAAAUAGCGCCAUUCUGACCCCACCCCUUUCCUCCACUCUGCUGGUUAUGCAGCGCUAUUAGUGAUGUUCUACUAUCGCGCCAAAGUCGAAAUGUUUGUUCACGUACAUCAGGGAAUCCUUUCAGUACCGGGACAGCACGAAUCAUUCCUCGCUACCGCUAAUCUAUAUUUUACUGAGGUAAUGUUAGCGCUAACUCGCUGACUAGGGGCGUUGUAGUGGUAUACGAGGAACGAAACACGUGCCGGUUAUUAUACAGCAAAGGAUGAACUAUCUCCACUGGAUCACUUUGUAUAUUUUACUGAGGUAAUGUAAGCACAUAACUAUCUAGUUUACAGUUAAACAGCUCACGUUUAACACACCGCUAGCUGAGUCGUUGUGCUAGCUUACACUUGUGACCUCGACAUAGGUGGGAUUACAGUAUACAAGACUUACUAGAAUUUUCUUAGUAAAUUUACCUCAGAAUAUAGCAUAACAUUCACAAUUUUGUUCAUGACUGAUAUUAACUAAGUUAGCUAGCUAGCUAAUUGUACUAAUCAAGUGGCUAAAAAUCGUCAAACGUCAUCUCUUAUAAUUUGCAUAACAAGCUUUGGUAAAUGUACGCUCUCGCACAUUUUGUGAAAUCGCAAAGUAAGCUCUUUUUAUUUCAUUUUAUUAAAAAAAAAAAGAAAAGAAAGUAAGCCGUGUAUUUUGUGCUUUAUACGGGCCAUAGCGCUGAGUAAGAACCCCAAAGGAGACGGUACACUUAAUUGAACACUAAAUAAUAAUGUGUAAUAUUUGUAUGAGUAAUGGACCUACAGAGCACUUCCUAUCCGCACACACACACACAUACACACACAUACACACGAGUGUGUGUGGAAACCUCUGAAAUCCCUGUUGAAACAGGCGUGUGCGUUUUUGUGCCAAUUCCCCAAUCCAUGUUGUGCGAGAACUUGCCGUCUCCCGAUUGGCUGCUGGUGAUGUAAUGCUUCCUGAAAGUGUGUUUAUGAUUGGACGGGAGGUUCCUUCAAAGAACCUGCAGUAGAGAGCUUGGCAUGACGGAGUGUGGCUCGAUUAUGGCAUCCUUCAAGGCUUCUUCACGCUCUGCCCCAGUGCACUCUGGGAUGUGCCAGUCCUCUGAACAUUGCUUUGACAGGUAACCUUGAAAAACAGUCACCUAUUCCCUCCUUUGUUCACCUUGUGUCUUGUCCUGUCAAAUCUCUUGCUCACUUGUCUGAUUGCACGCACGUACACGCAUAUGUACAACCAGGAGCUGUUGACAUUUCCAGGGGUUUUUAUAACAACUGCUGUUUUAUAAUAACGUUGCUCUGUGGUGGGUGGAGUUCAGUCUAAAUUUACACACAAUGCAACAGUUCUGUUCUCACAUCAUGCUUCCUAUGGCACUGUGAGAGACGGCGGCGGAAGGGAAAUCACAGUCUUUGGUCUCAAAAUGAAUUUUGUGAUGAUUUUCUGAUCAAAUCUAGGGUGUGAAAUUUUACUCCAAGCAACCGAAUUGUGGUCCUUCGAAAAUUCCAUUCAAUUUGAUUUGUAGAGCGCUUUUAAUAACUGACGUCGUCUCGAAGCAGCUUUAGAGAAACCUAUAAACACAGGAUAGAGAUUUUAAGCGUGUGAGUUUAUCCUUAUUGAGCGAGCCGGUGGUGACGGUGGCGAGGGAAAAACUCCCUGAGAUGAUAUGAGGAAGAAACCUUGAGAGGAACCGGACUCAGACGGGAACCCGUCCUCAUCUGGGGAACGACGGAUAGUGUGAGAGUAAAAGAAAGUUCGUUAUGGGUUUUAUAUGAAGUCUGUUUGAAUUAGUCCACUGUUCAUUAAAGGAAACCUGAGAGUAAAACCGCAUGUGGUGAUUGCAAUCCCAGCAACCACAGCGAGAACGUCCAUGUGGAAUUGAGGUCCAAAACCAUCUCCAUGGUACUUCAAGCGGUACCGUCCUAAUCAAUCUCCAGGCUGUAGCCUCCAGUUGAUGAGAGCUCCAUCCAGACGUAGGGCAUCAGGAUGGACCAGGCAGGUCCGGAGAGCAGAACGGGUCAGAUGACCGGUCCAGUCAAAGAACACAACGUGCUGAAAUGGGAAAGCAUCUGAACCAUAUGAAAAACAAACCAUGUCCAAAAAGUUGAACCUUGAUGGGGAUUUUAGCAAACGCUCAGCCUUAGUUGCAGCUGAAUCUAGGGCAGUGUUUCUCAGUCCCAGUGCUGGAAACCCCACACAUCUCAUUAGUGCUUUCUGUGACCUGUGCCAAUAAACAGCUUUAUAAUUAGCUGAGUUGAAAAUAUUAGAUAUAUUGGAUAUAUUAGAUGAGGAUAAUCACAAAAACGUAACGCUGAGGUUGUUGUAACAUUCUAGGUGUCGAUUUAAGUCCCUUUCGCCCAUCAGACAAAACCUAGAAUUUAGGCGUAGGCACGGGUAGUCGACCUGAACGACCUCUAGACCGUUUAUAUGGUCUGCACUUAUAUAGCGCUUUUAUCUAAAGUGCUUUACACUGUCUCUCAUUCACCCAUUCACACACACACACACACACACACUCACACACCAAUGGUAGCAGAGCUGCCAUGCAAGGCGCUAACUUGCCAUCGGGACUGACUUGGGGUUCAGUGUCUUACCCAAGGACGCUUCUUUCGGCAUGUGGAGUCAUGUGGAAUCAUGUGGAGUCAUGGGGAGUCAUGGGGAGUCAUGGUGAGUCAUGGGGAGUCAUGGUGAGUCAUGGGGAGUCAUGGGGAGACAUGGUGAGUCAUGGGGAGACAUGGUGAGUCAUGGGGAGACAUGGUGAGUCAUGGGGAGUCAUGUGGAGUCAUGGGGAGUCAUGGGGAGUCACGGGGAGUCACGUGGAGUCACGGGGAGUCAUAUGGAGUCAUGUGUGAAUUGAACCGCCAACACUACGAUUAGUGGACAGCCCGCUCUACCACCUGAGCCACAGCCGCCCAAGCUUGGUGUCAUGGCAGUAUUAGUUAGUAUUAUAUAAUUGUACUUAAAUAUAACUGUAAUCAAAGUAUUGUAUAAUUGGAAUGGUCCAACAGAUGUGAAAUCCUUCUGGCUUUUAUUUAUUAUGAGCUUUUGGCCCCAGGGCUGAAAGUGAAAACAAUUGCUCCGAGGUACAUUUGGUUUUAUUUGGCUCUCCCUCAGGGUUCAUUCGUAUUCUUUUUCUUUCCGUUGUCCUCUCACAAUCCAUAAACUCUCGAUCAUCACCCAAGUGAAAUAUUUUAUGUCCGUGUAUGUGUGUGUGUGUAAAACAAGCACGGACGUUUGAUAAAUCCUGUGCGCCGGGCAGCUGACAUGUCUUACGCGAGCCAGCUGUAUAUCACUCGGCGUGUGAGUGUGCUGAUCUGAGCAGAAAAGCACACAAAGGCUCCCCUACCGGUUUCUUCCAAUGGUUCGAUAGAGCUUCAUGGAGAAAAAAAAAAAGGAGAGGCUGAUCCCGGUUGUCGUCUGUCUUUCCGUCGUCCAGUUCCUCCGCCGCCUCGCUCUCCUGAAGAGCCUGCGAUUAAAAAGGUCAAGCAAGCGAUGGGAGUGAAUUAAAGUCGGUGUUGUGGAGUCUUUUUCGACGUUUCGUAUUUGGACCGUGCGAAGUGAGGAGACGUUAUGAAAAUUCAAUCUCUUACUCUCUCGCUCUCUCUCUCUAUCUCUCUCUCUCUCUCGCUCCAUCGUUAGCCGAACUCAUAAAGUCUCCCUAUAAAGCAAUCGUGCUAAAGUACAUCAGCGCUGCAUGGCUCCAGUGAUGCCUCAUCUCUCCUGCAGUCAAAUGCGAUUGGCCUUUCCGCCGUCACCGUGGAGACGACAGGCUGGGUGCCGCGACGACCGGGUGCCGCCUGGCUAUGCUUUCGCUCUGUCCCUUCAAGCGUUAUGCUGAUCAGCUCACUUUCUCUUUGCGUUGCACUUUUUGAAAAAAACAAGAAUGUCCAAAUGUUUUAUUGAUGUUAAUGCCGCUUGUGCAGACGCAGAAACAUCUCUGGAAUCUUUCCCAUUCUGCAGAGUUUACUCAAGGUUUCUAUUUUAUUAUUAUUAUUAUUUUUAUUUUUUUGGUGGUGGGGAUAAUGUAAAACAUUCAGGUAUUGCAAACCUUCAUGCAUAUUUAAGCAGCACUCUCACAGUCCCCUGGUAGCUGACACACACACACACACACACACACACACACACACACACACACAUGCACUUGCUUUCUCUUCCUGUGUAGCAGCUCUCGCUUAUGCGCCUGCAAGAGCGCCCGGCUCUCCGGCUAUACCAGGCAGUAAUUCUUCAAUUUCAACAACGCAACUAGGUCAGUCUGGUCCAGCUGGAGCCUUCGUCUGACACGCGGCCAGACGAGCACUCUCUCGGCACUCAGACAACCAUUAACCAUUAGCUAAGAACAACAGCUAAUGAGCUAUUAGCGAAGCAGACACCUAGAUUACUCACUAACUAAUGGAAGACAUUAGGUGAACUUUUCACCACGUUCAUCCAUCAUGAGAAAAUCCUUCUCACCGCACUGCGGCUUAGCCUGAUUUCCAUUCGUUCAGUACAGCCCUGUGAUGAUCAAAAGUGACAAGACACUAUAUAGCGGGGAACAUUCGUAAUACAUUCGACGCACAUCCGACUAUUUCACAAGCUUUAAACCUCCCACUAGCUUGUUAUGAACUGUCUGAGAACAAGAUAGAAGUCCAGUGGCAGUUGAUUCGAUAAACGAGAGGCGGCGACUGAAAAAGCUCUAUCCGCCUUAGUUUUUAAACGGGAUCGAGGGACAUACAGAAGAAACCUCCCAAAAAAUCUGCUAGCUGAAUGUGGUGUAAGAAGAUCUUUGCGAUAAGAAGGAGCUCGAUCGUUAAGAGUUUUAAAAACACACGGCAGAAUCUUAAAACGGAUCCUAAAAUGGACCGGGAGCCGAUGGAGCGGUGCUAAAAUUGGGGUGAACAGCCUUGCAGCUGCAUUCUGAACCAUCUGGAGACGAGCAAGAGAUGACCGAGGAAGAGCCGAGUACAAUGAAUUACAAUAAUCUCAACGCGAUGGGAUAAAAGCACGAAUAACCUUCUCCGAACCUUCUCCGAAAGUUCAUAAGACUCUCAUUUUAGUUAUGGUUAGUGAUUAGUUCGUUUGUGAUUAGUACAUGUCUUAUCGCAUCAUUAGGACGUAUUUACUGUACGUAUUAAUUCAGGUCCUUAGCAUGUUCGCCUCACGCCUCCAGGGUCGGGGGUUCGAUUCCCACCGUGGCCCUGUGUGGGCGGAGUCUGCAUGUUCUCCCCGUGCUGCGGGGGUUUCCUCCGGGUGCUCCGGUUUCCUCCCCCAGUCCAAAGACAUGCAUGGUAGGCUGAUUGGCGUGUCUAAAGUGUCCGUAGUGUAUGAACGGGUGUGUGAGUGUGUAUGUGAUUGUGCCCUGCGAUGGAUCGGCACCCUGUCCAGGGUGUACCCCGCCUCGUGCCCCAUGCUCCCUGGGAUAGGCUCCAGGUUCCCCCAUGACCCUGAAAAGGAUAAGCGUUAUCGAAGAUGUAAGGAUGGAUGGAUGGUAUUAAUUCAGGUAUUGGCGUGUGAUUAUUCAUGUACUGUUAUUGUAAAGUGUUACGUGCUCAUUUUCUCGCCUUUCGCUGAGUCAGAGUCGAGAAACUCAAUGUUGUCGAGGAGCUAGCGGAGGUAGAUGGAGGGAGAAAUUUCUCCGUUUUAUUUUUUUAAAGCUGAACUCCUACGCUAGUGCAGCGUGUCAGGCUAGCAAGAAAGACCGAAAUAGCACGUCACGGUCACGUUAAAUGCGGCUCGUUAAAUGCGGAACAUGUGACAUUUCAUCAUAGUAGCACAGGAACACAUCGAAAUGCUGCUGACACCGGAGGUGGAACUGUGUGUCAGUACUUGAAACCUAGUUUAUUCGGAGAAACACUGAGAUGGUUAUCUUGAGGCAUGGGUUUGCUCACACCCCUCCCAUUUCCUAUCGUCCUACUCACCAGCAGCUAAACAAAGAGUCACGAUAUUCUGCACACAGAAACCCAACUGUGUCCUGACUCAUCUUAUAACAGACUUGCGGUGAUAAAAUAAUUCAUUUGUUUAUACUGAUUGAAAAUGUCCGAUACGUCGAUUUCCAUUCCGCCGGCUGAAUUGAAUGCCAGCGGUAAGUGGUAUGUCACACACACACACACACACACACUCUCACACACCAAUGGAAGCAGAGCUGCCAUGCAAGGUUCUAGCUUGCCAUCGGGAGCAACUUGGGGUUCAGUGUCUUAGUCAAGGACACUUUGGCAUGUGGAGUCAUGUGGAGUCAUGUAGAGACAUGUGGAGACAUGUAGAGACAUGUGGAGACAUGUGGAGACAUGUGGAGUCAGGUGGAGUCAGGUGGAGACAUGUGGAGUCAUGUGGAGUCAUGUGGAGUCAGGUGGAUUCAUGUAGGGACAUGUGGAGACAUGUGGAGACAUUUGGAGUCAUGUGGAGUCAUGUGGAGUCAGGUGGAGUCAUGUAGGGACAUGUGGAGACAUGUGGAGUCAUGUGUAGUCAUGUGGAGUCAGGUGGAGUCAUGUAGAGACAUGUGGAGUCAUGGGGAGUCAUGUGGAGUCAUGUGGAGUCAGGUGGAGUCAUGUAGGGACAUGUGGAGACAUGUGGAGUCAUGUGGAGUCAUGUGGAGUCAGGUGGAGUCAUGUAGGGACAUGUGGAGACAUGUGGAGUCAUGUGGAGUCAGGUGGAGUCAUGGGGAGUCAUGGGGAGACAUGUAGAGUCAGGUGGAGUCAUGUAGAGUCAUGGGGAGUCAUGUAGAGUCAUGUGGAGUUAAGUGGUCAUGGGGAGUCAUGGGGUGUCAUGUGGAGUCAGGUGGAGUUAGGUGGAGUCAUGUGGCCAACCCUACAAAGUGAUAAGUUCAUGAACAAGUCACUCCAAAAUUCCUGGGUCAAAUCCCAGCUUGCCUCUCUGGUCCUAUUAGUAAUUUUGCACCCCUUUACAAUUUCAUCUUGGCCUUUCCCUGAUUUAUAUCACCUCUGGCUCUGGCAUCCUUUUGCUGCCGGAUUUGAUACAAGUAAAUCUGCUCCACUCUUCUGUACUCGCAUAAUCGACUGUUAUCUACGCAUCAUUUUUCAUUAACGACUACAUAAUUACGCUCAGAGUCUUAUUUACAGCAGACGGGCGUCACGUCGCCUCAAAACCGCUCAGAAAGUUCACAUUUUCAUUCGACUUGGCACAACGUCUGAGUGUGGGUCUUCAUAGACUUUAGUACAGCCUCUGUGUCGAGUCAGAGAGAAUGCAAAUGGACUGGAAAGCAGUCAGGAGUCGAUUAGAGAGUCACUGGCCGGGUCACGGAGAGGAUUUGGAGAGAGACGCGGGAAAGAAGAAGAGAGAAAGUCAUCAUCUCUCUGGCAGUCUGACUUUUUGUGUCCUGAAGCGAUGGCUGAGGUUUAAUAAGCGUAAGGGAGGGAGGAAGUGAAACAUUUAACAUCAGUGGCAUUUUAUAAACUGCCCCACGGAACGAAUGACCCCCAUAGUCACCUCCUGUAAUUCAGACAGUGUGCUGGUCUCUCGCCUAUCUAAUGCGACUGUAAGUUUUUAAUACCCAUCAGUAAGAAUGUUUGAAGCGUGUGUGUGUGCUGAUUCAAUGCAAAAUAGACCUCUGGCAGUGUUUAUAGUGCACCUACGUGAGCGUAUAGUGUUUAUACUGCACCUACGUGAGCGUAUAGUGUUUAUAGCGCACCUACGUGAGCGUAUAGUGUUUAUAGCGCACCUACGUGAGCGUAUAGUGUUUAUAGCGCACCUACGUGAGCGUAUAGUGUUUAUAGCGCACCUACGUGAGCGUAUAGUGUUUAUAGCGCA
ensembl:lncRNA